GUAACGUGAACAGGUCGUGCACCACCGCAGGAUACAUACGCGCAUCGACACACACACACGCACACAGACACGCAAGCAUACCGAUGGAAGAGAGCUACGUCGAGGGUAACCUCGGCCCCGUCUUCAACAACGCCGAGCCGCUUUCCCUUCCGAUUGUAGCGCGUAUUCUUCACGAGAAACGUAUCGGCGCCGAGGACACAGACAAGAUCAAAGGCGUGCUGAUUCAGUCCUGCUGUGAGGCGGUCGAUAUCCUACAGGAGGACUGCGCGCCAGAGAGUAUGGUGAACAGCCUGCACGGGAAACGGCUGCGACUGCGCGCCGGUGGCGGUGGCGUUGCAAAUGCCCACUUGAUGGGGCUCCAGAUUGACGAGAACGGCUACGCAGUGCUGCCGCCUGAGGGCACUGCACCGUCCGCCGCUGCCCCAUCACCCGGGUCUCGCACAGAGCGCAUGAAGCCCUUCGAGAUUAUUGCUCUCACGACGCUGCGACCGACCACGACGAGGGAGGCGGUGGAGUUGAUCCCGUCGUUGUACCGCUUCGAGGAUGCGGAGCUGGACGACAUACUAGGCAUGCUGUCCUACUAACCGCUGCCGUUCCGCUCGGACACGACUCCCUCAUGCUUGGCGCGCAAGCGCUUCGGCACAGCGUGGAGUUUUGUGUGUGCGCGUGUGUCUUGGAUGUGCAUGAGUGCGUGCGCGUGCGCCGCGGCGCCGUGCAGAAGCGGCGUGCGUCGUUGUGCCGUUUUUUAUUUGUUUGCAGGAGGGAGGGAGGGACGGUGUGGAGACACCAUCACGGAUGGUGUCUCCACACCACACCACCCCGCACCACCCCACCUCUCUUUCUCGCUCUCGUACGCAUAACGGCUCCGCUAAACAGCGCCUCGGGCGGCAGAACAAGAAAGUGGGAUCGAUGCUAAGCUUUCGCGCAGUCACUUGUAUCACGCCCCAAAUGCUGCUCUUGCUGCAAAUGCCACUGCGAAUGGAGAGCGCAGCUGAGGUUGAGUGGUGCACAUACCUACGCUCAG
rnacentral:misc_RNA from 1 species